CUGUAGUGACGCUUUAGACCACUGCGCCACUCGAGAGGCCCCAUGACAAAGUGCUUUAAUAGUAACCUGGCCUGAACCGGAGAAACCCAGGACAUACAGGGCACUACUGCUCCUGCCAUCUCUUUCUCCCUGUGUGAUGUCAUAUCCUGUUCCUGUUUAGGGCCAGCUGAAUGCAGGUGUGUUCUCCCGUCAACAUGAGGCUCCUGCUUCUCCCGCCCCAAAUACAAACAGGUACACACAUACACAGAUACACACACAAACACACACACUAUUAGGAAUGGUCCCCUAUUUACAUGUCCGUGUGUAUGUUUGUUGUGUGUCAGAGGUGAGGGACGAUAAGCCAGUUUUUGAGAAGAGGCAUCUGGUGGAGGAGGAGGACAUGUAGAUGCACUCCAAGUUCCUGGACAGAAAGAGCAUGCCUCAUACCUGCGGCUGGCAGCUCCGCGCCAUGAUCCCUGACUUUUGGCAGUUCCUGUUACUACAUAAACCAAGCAAUGUCUUCAUGGUCGCCCGUGAGGACUUCUCUCCCUUCCGCCCCCGCCAAACACCUUCAACACCUCCUCAGCGUGUUGAAGGUGCGCAAACAUAAGACGUCGCUUGGUUUUCGUAGUAACAGGUACUGCAAGAAGUCGGCCAUCAUGGCGAGGAGGUCCGGGUUCUACUGCAGGAACUUGGAGUGCAUCUACAUGUCCUCCUCCCUCACCAGAUGCCUCUUCUCAAAAACUGGCCUAUCGUCCCUCACCUCUGACACACAACAAACAUACACACGGACAUGUAAAUAGGGGACCAUUCCUAAUAGUGUGUGUGUUUGUGUGUGUAUCUGUGUAUGUGUGUACCUGUUUGUAUUUGGGGCGGGAGAAGCAGGAGCCUCAUGUUGACGGAAGAGCACACCUGCAUUUGGCUGGCCCUAAACAGGAACAGGAUAUGACAUCACACAGGGAGAAAGAGAUGGCAGGAGCAGUGGUGCCCUAUAUGUCCUGGGUGUCUCUGGUGUAGGCCAGGUUACUGUAAAAGCACUAUUUAACAAGGCAAGUCAGUUAAGAACAAAUUCUUAUUUACAAUGACAACCUACACUGGCCAAACCUGGACGACGCUGGGACAAUUGUGUGCCGCCCUAUGGGACUCCCAAUCACGGCCGGUUGUGAUACAAACUGGAUGUAACUGCUGAUGUAAAAU
rnacentral:lncRNA from 1 species